rnacentral:rRNA from 1 species
AGCGAACGCUGGCGGCAGGCCUAACACAUUCAAGUCGAACGAAGUCUUCGGCCUUAGUGGCGGACGGGUGAGUAACACGUGGGAACGUAUCUUUUGGUUCAGAACAACUCAGGGAAACUUGAGCUAAUCACGGAUGAGCCUUUCGGGGGAAAGAUUUAUCGCCGAAAGAGCGGCCCGCGUUAGAUUAGCUAGUUGGUGCAGUAAAGGCUCACCAAGGCUUCGGUCUAUAGCUGGUCUGAGCGGAUGAUCAGCCACACUGGGACUGAGACACGGCCCAGACUCCUAGGGGAGGCAGCAGUGGGGAAUCUUGCGCAAUGGGCGAAAGCCUGGCGCAGCCAUGCCGCGUGAAUGAUAAAGGUCUUAGGAUUGUAAAAUUCUUUCACCGGGGACGAUCAUGACGGUACCCGGAGAAGAAGCCCCGGCUAACUUCGUGCCAGCAGCCGCCGUAACAC